GGGCCAUAGCUCAGUGGUUGAGCAUCUGCUUUGCACAUAGAAAGUCUUAGGUUCAAUCCCUGGCAACUCCU